CACAAGAGAAAUUUGGCAUGUUGCGUCUCAAUCUGUACAGCCCCAUUGAAAACAACUGCAUGCGUCUACUCCUGCGCUCCCCUGUAAUGAGGUUUAGUAAUGUCAUGAUCUAGAUCAACUCAAUAAUGUCUGAAACCCAUUAAUUCCUAGGUCAGUUGUUUGGCCUUAAUAUGUUUGCCUUGUCAUGAGUGUUAUAUGUCAGGUCUUUAUAACCAAUCUCAAUUAUUAGGCCUUAUAUGAUUGUUGGGAAAUGAAAUUGUUUGGAAUGGAUAUCUGGAAAGUAAACAAUUUUUUAUACUUUUCUUCCAAAUGAACAGCCUGCUGAUGGUGAUGUGCUGGCGUGCCCCUAGCAGUGAAUGCUUUCCUGUAACAUCUUAUGCUCUUUCUGGCCUCCUACUGUGUUAUGGUUGUGGUUCAUGUGUGUCGUACUCUACUUUAUUAUCUUGGUACUUGCCCACAGAGGAUACAGACAUGGACACUGACUGAUUGGCCACGCCUCAAACUCCGUUAUUCAGCCUCUCCAUGUGCAAACUUUUCCUGACCCACUAAAUUGGACUCAACACAACCGACAGAUGUGAUGAACUGAAAGCUGUUUGGCUCAUUUGAACCUGGGUGGAGUGACCUUUCAA